ensembl:lncRNA
ACUGGAGAGAAUGAGCUUGGAGCAGCAGGGUUUAACCCAGCGCAGCUCAGAGGUGGGUUGCUGAAGAAUUCCGGGAGGCAGCUGCAACAGGGUAUCAUUCACUGUCCAAGUAUUUAUGAUUCUGAGCGCAAAAGGAAGAACUUAAACAGGCGGCAGUUGGAGUGUAAAUUGCUUUGUAGUAUUUAAAAGCAUCACGGAUCCUGGACAGCUGAGCUGGUACGUGAGAGAGAAACUACUGAAUGGAAUUGUGCUGGGUAUCAUAGUUUAUCCAUUUGCCUACUGAAGUCCAUCUUGGUUGCUUCCACAUUUUGGCAAUUAUGAAUAAAGCUGCUCUAAGCAUCCACAUACAGGUUUUUUGUGGACAUAUGUUUUCAACUCCUUUGAAUAACAAGGAGUGCAAUUGGAGCAUUUUAUGGUAAGACUAUGUUUAGUUUUGUGAGAAACUACCAAAUGGUCUUCCAAACUGUAUAUACAGUUCCUGUUGCUCCACAUCCUCACCAACAUUUAAUAUUAUUAGUUUUGAUUCUGGCCGUUCUAAUGGAUAUGUAGUAGUAUAUCAUUGCUGUUUCAAUUUGCAUUUUUCUGGUGACAUAUGAUGUGGAGAAUCUUAAAAAGAUGUUUAAAAUAUGUUUGUGUGCCAUCUGUCUAUCUUCUUUGGUCAGGUGUCUUUGAGGUCUUUGCCUUAUUUUUUACUUGGGUUGUUUGUUUUCUUAUUUCUUAGUUUUAAGAGUUUUUUGUAUAAUUUGGAGAGCAGUCCUUUAUAAGAUAUGUAGUUUUCAAAUAUCUUCUCCCAUCCUGUGGCUUUUCUUCUCAUUCUCUUGACAUUUCUUUCACAGAGCAGAGGUUUUUAAUUGUACUGAAGUUCAGCAUAUCAAUUAUUUCUUUCAUGGAUUUUGCCUUUGGUGUUUUAUCUCAAAAAGAAUUGUUAUACACAAAGUCAUCCGGAUUUUCUUCUGUGUUAUUUUCUGUGGGUUUUAUAGUUUUGUGUUUUAUAAUUUUUGUUAAGUGUGUGUGAUCUGAGCCUAAACUCAUUGUAUUUUUGCAUGCAGAAGUCCUAUUGUUCCAGCUCCAUUUAUUGAAAAGGCACUUUUUGUUCAUUCUUUUGCUUUUACUCCUUUAUCAAAGAUUGGUUAACUAUAUUUAUAUAGAUAUAUUUCUGGAUCUCCAUUCUAUUCCAUUGAUCUGUUUGCCUAUUCUUUCAUCAAUAUCAUACUCUCUUGAUUACCGUAGCAUUAUUGUAGGUCUUGAUGUCAAGUAGUGUUAGUCUUCCAACUUGGUUCUUCUCUUUCAGUAUUGUAUUGGCUAUACUGAGUUUUUAACUUCUCCAUAUAAACUUUGCAAACAUUCUGUUGAUAUCUACAAAUAGCUUGCUGGGAUUAUGGUUGAGAUUGUGUUAAAUUUAUAUAUCAAAUUGGGGAGAAUUGACAUCUUGACAAUAUUGAGUUUUAUUGUUCAUGAACAUGGAGCAUCUCUCUAUUUAGUUUUUCUUUGAUUUUCUUCAUCAGAAUCAUUGUAAUUUUCUUUAUACAGUUCUUGUAGUUAUUUUGUUACAUUUAUCCUUAAGUAUUUCAUUUUGGGGAACACUAAUAUAAAUGGUAUUUUAUUUAAUUUAUUUAUAUCUUGGCCACACCCAUGGCAUGCCUAUGUUCCUGGGCCCGGGAUUGAACCCAUGCCACAGCGUGACUUGAGCUACAGUAAUGAUAGCACUGGAUCCUUAACCCACUGUGCCAUCAGGGAACUCCCAAUGAAUGGUAUUGUAUGUUAAAUUU